GAUGAACGCUAGCGGUGUGCCUAAUGCAUGCAAGUCGAACGGGAUCCCUUUGGAUUCGUCUGAAGGUGAGAGUGGCGAACGGGUGAGUAACACGUAGGUGACCUGCCCCCGGAGAGGGGGACAACCACUGGAAACGGUGGCUAAUACCCCCAGAUGUUAUUGCGCUUAGAAAGCAAUUACUAAAGUUCCGGCGCUCCGGGAGGGGCCUGCGGCCCAUCAGCUUGUUGGUAAGGUAAUGGCUUACCAAGGCUAAGACGGGUAGGGGGCGUGAGAGCGUGACCCCCCCACACUGGUACUGAGACACGGACCAGAUACCUGCGGGUAGCAGCAGCAAGGAAUAUUGCCCAAUGGACGAAAGUCUGAGGCAGCAACACCGCGUGGAGGAUGAAGGCCUUCGGGUUGUAAACUCCUUUUCUGGGGGAAGAGAAAGGACGGUACCCCAGGAAUAAGUCUCGGCUAACUACGUG
rnacentral:rRNA from 1 species